rnacentral:tRNA from 1 species
AGUCUUGAGGUGUAGUACAUGCGGGAUUGCAAAUCCCGAGUAGUAGGCUAAGAACCUGCCAAGACUU